rnacentral:tRNA from 1 species
GAAAAGGGCGAAUGGUCUAGUGGUAUGAUUCCUCGUUUGGGUUUAAAGACUUAAACAUAAAAUUCGAGGAGGCCCGGGGUUCAAUUCCCCGUUUGCCCCGA